CAGAAACGGGAAGAGCCUGGACCUACACCAUCAAGCCCGUGUGCUGCAUCAGCAGCAGCUCAAAGUGAGGAUGAAAUAAGAACAUCAUCCCCAAUCCAGCAGGACACAGCCAGUGUCUGCCAGAUCCAGCUUGAAGGAGAGCAGAGCAGCCCGUCAAAGCCUCAGGCAAAGGAGUCACACACAAAUGACGAGGACUCCCUGACCUCUGAGGUUUUUGGUGCAGGACUCAAUGACAGUGCUUUUUCAAGCAGAGAUUCUUUAUCAGGUGAUUUAACAGGAUUCUCGACCAAUAGAAAAUCAGGGGAGAAAGGUGGAGGUGCGUCAUUGAAGGAGAAUGUUUGC